AGAGUCUUCUCGAGAGUUCCAUUUGAAACUUCACAUUCUGACGCUUCUCGCUCCUUCUUUGCGGUCACCCGACAGCACACUGGUGCCCAGCACGACACGCUCCAGCUCGCCAUGGCGACGAGUGCCGAGACAACGUCGGAGCUGGACGCGUCCAUCUCCACCACCUCUUUCUCGCCCGACGUGACGACGAACGCCGACCUCACGCUAGAUCCGGGCGUGCUCACCUCCGCCUCCUCUUCUGCGUCGGCGUCGCACCAACCAUCUCCAGCCAUAGAGACAACUUGCUCGCUGCAGAAUGGUUGGUGCUACGCCGGUCAGCAAGAUCCUCCCGAUCAGCAAGAUCACUAUAGUUCGUGGAGCGUUGUCCCGGUCAGCAAGAUCCUCCCUGCGCUCUAAUGUAUGAGGUAAAAAGUCUUGGCACUACUAUAUUUGUUUAGGUUUUUCCCUACAGCAACGGAGGCUUCUGCAUCUUGAUUUGCAACGUGGAACUGCACGUUUAUGGUUCAGUCAACUUUAUUUGGAAAUACCGCAUUCGAUUCCUCCCUGCUAUUCAAUCUAAGAUGUGCAUAUUUUGUUUUUGUUUUUCU
rnacentral:misc_RNA from 1 species